rnacentral:rRNA from 1 species
AUGAACGCUGGCGGCGUGCCUAAUCCAUGCAAGUCGAGCGAACAGACGAGGAGCUUGCUCCUCUGACGUUAGCGGCGGACGGGUGAGUAACACGUGGAUAACCUACCUAUAAGACUGGGAUAACUUCGGGAAACCGGAGCUAAUACCGGAUAAUAUAUUGAACCGCAUGGUUCAAUAGUGAAAGACGGUUUUGCUGUCACUUAUAGAUGGAUCCGCGCCGCAUUAGCUAGUUGGUAAGGUAACGGCUUACCAAGGCGACGAUGCGUAGCCGACCUGAGAGGGUGAUCGGCCACACUGGAACUGAGACACGGUCCAGACUCCUACGGGAGGCAGCAGUAGGGAAUCUUCCGCAAUGGGCGAAAGCCUGACGGAGCAACGCCGCGUGAGUGAUGAAGGUCUUCGGAUCGUAAAACUCUGUUAUUAGGGAAGAACAAAUGUGUAAGUAACUAUGCACGUCUUGACGGUACCUAAUCAGAAAGCCACGGCUAACUACGU